ensembl:misc_RNA Metazoa_SRP Metazoan signal recognition particle RNA
GCCUGGUGUGGUGGUGCACGCCGGUAGUCCCAGCUACCUGGGGGGCUGAGGCAGAAGAAUUGCUUGAAUCCAGGAGGUCUAGGCUGCAGUGAGCCAAGAUUGUGCCACUGCACCCCAACCUGGGCAACAGAGCGAUACCCUGUCUCAA